rnacentral:rRNA from 1 species
UACGUAGGGGGCAAGCGUUGUCCGGAAUCAUUGGGCGUAAAGCGCGUGUAGGCGGCCAUAUAAGUCCGUUCUGAAAGCCCGGGGCUCAACCCCGGGAGGCGGAUGGAUACUGUUUGGCUCGAGUCCGGAAGAGGCGAGUGGAAUUCCCGGUGUAGCGGUGAAAUGCGCAGAUAUCGGGAGGAACACCAAUGGCGAAGGCAGCUCGCUGGGACGGUACUGACGCUGAGACGCGAAAGCGUGGGGAGCAAACAGG